AUUGAACGCUGGCGGCAUGCCUUACACAUGCAAGUCGAACGGCAGCACGGGUGCUUGCACCUGGUGGCGAGUGGCGAACGGGUGAGUAAUACAUCGGAACGUACCUUAUCGUGGGGGAUAACGCAGCGAAAGCUGUGCUAAUACCGCAUACGCCCUGAGGGGGAAAGCGGGGGAUCGCAAGACCUCGCGCGAUUAGAGCGGCCGAUGCCUGAUUAGCUAGUUGGUGGGGUAAAAGCCCACCAAGGCGACGAUCAGUAGCUGGUCUGAGAGGACGAUCAGCCACACUGGGACUGAGACACGGCCCAGACUCCUACGGGAGGCAGCAGUGGGGAAUUUUGGACAAUGGGGGCAACCCUGAUCCAGCAAUGCCGCGUGAGUGAAGAAGGCCUUCGGGUUGUAAAGCCCUUUUGUCAGGGAAGAAACACCGGCUCUAACACAGUCCGGGAAUGACGGUACCUGAAGAAUAAGCACCGGCUAACUACGUGCCAGCCGCCGCGGUAA
rnacentral:rRNA from 1 species